CAGUAUCCGCGGUAAUACGAGGGGGGCAAGCGUUGUUCGGAAUUAUUGGGCGUAAAGGGUGCGUAGGCGGUUUGAUAAGUCAUCUGUGAAAUCUCUGGGCUCAACCCAGAGUCUGCAGGCGAAACUGUCGGGCUUGAGUAUGGGAGAGGUGAGUGGAAUUUCCGGUGUAGCGGUGAAAUGCGUAGAUAUCGGAAGGAACACCUGUGGCGAAAGCGGCUCACUGGACCAUAACUGACGCUGAUGCACGAAAGCUAGGGGAGCAAACAGGAUUAGAUACCCCAGUAGUCCCUGUCUCUUAUAC
rnacentral:rRNA from 1 species